UGGCGGACGGGUGAGUAACGCUGGGGAACCUGCCCUGUACAGGGGGAUAACACUUAGAAAUAGGUGCUAAUACCGCAUAAGCGCACAGUAUCGCAUGAUACAGUGUGAAAAACUCCGGUGGUACAGGAUGGACCCGCGUCUGAUUAGCUGGUUGGCGGGGUAACGGCCCACCAAGGCGACGAUCAGUAGCCGGCCUGAGAGGGUGAACGGCCACAUUGGGACUGAGACACGGCCCAAACUCCUACGGGAGGCAGCAG
rnacentral:rRNA from 1 species